rnacentral:misc_RNA from 1 species
GCAAACUUGGUCAUUUAGAGGAAGUAAAAGUCGUAACAAGGUUUCCGUAGGUGAACCUGCGGAAGGAUCAUUAUCGAGUGAAAGGUUUCCUUCCGUGGAACCUGACCUCCCAACCCUUGUGUUCUUCUACCAAUUUGCUUUGGCGGGCCUGUCAAUGUGACUGCUGGAAGGUCGGGAUUUAUACCUAACUUUGGGCUCGUGCCCGCCAGAGAUAUCUGAAUGCUUGUUAUGAAAAAGGUUGCUCUGAGAAAUUUUAAAAAGUUUUAAAACUUUCAACAACGGAUCUCUUGGUUCCGGCAUCGAUGAAGAACGCAGC